GAAACCUUUAACAACUGAACUAAUUCUGGAAAGUUGCCCAUAUCAGAUAUCUUCAGAAAUCACUUUGGAAAAUGCCUUUAGGAAGGUAGGACACCUCUUCCCAUUUGUCUUAUGAUGGCAGGUCCAGAGCUUACAUGAAGAGGCAGUGAGGCAAAGAUGUAAAGAAUAUGGACUCUUCAGUCAGACCUGGGAUGAACCCCGGCCAUUACCUACUCACGGAGGAGCCUGGGCCACUUAUCUAACCUCUCUGAGGCUCACUUUCUGCGUCUAUCAAAUGAGAAUAGCGCUACUAUCUGCUGUAUGAAACACUGACCGAGUUAAGCAAAAUAAUGCAGGUUAGCUGCUUAAUCCAGUGUCUAGCACAUAGCAAGUGCCAAAAAUGUGAGCGAUUAAAAGGGGUCUUUUACUAGCACUGGCCACAUCCCCAUCUUAUCGCUUUAUCUUCCAUUGAGCAGAGGUUCUGCCAGGUGCAGGGGACAAGGGAGAAGAAAAGACACGCACAUUCUCCUGGGCUUCAAAGUUGUCCCAUCCUUCUGUGAUGUCAUAAUCUGAGCCAUAGCCCACAAAUGUGAACUCCAACAACCCCCAAACCCAGUCCUCACCUCCCACAUGCUUUUCAUCACCCGCUCUCACAUCCCAUCUGGGGCCUCUGCUUCCAUCCUACCAUUUCGCAAGCCUGGCCAACUCAAGCUCCGUGUGCUGCACCUAGAGCAGCCCAUCUCUGUGUCAGGAGAACUGCAAUCCAAGCAAAUGUGGUGGGUGUGAAGCUUUCAAGAAGUUGGGUCAAGAACAAGGACUGAAAGAGGAGCAUCAAUUUAUGGGGGCCACUGAGGCUUUCAGAGAUUUUGUGACCUACCAAACUGGCACAGCUAGUAAAUGGAUGACAAGCCAUUAACAUGGAAAGAAGAAGAGGCAUCCAAAGUGUUGGGUCCGCAUCGCCCUUGCCUUGGAGGAAGCUCCAAAUAGAGGGAAGGAUGGUUUCCAGCAGUCCCUGAAGUGCCUUUCCUCCUUCGUGGGAUCCAGUUACACCCAGCAGACUUCAGUUUGAAUAAACAGAACUAGAUGAAUACACCUAGGGAAUCUGUGAGGCCAGCCUCAGCUUUUAACAUCCAGCUACAGGGAGGCUCUCGCUCACCGGGAGAUUAACCCGCCAGGCUGCUGAGUGAGAGGGGACAGAGUAGGCCCUGACGGGAGGCCUGGGACGCAGGGGAAAUCAAAACAAGUCCACCUGCUUAAGGAGACUGCCGCACUGUGACCUCGUCCUCCGGACAUCUGUGGCAAGUGUUACCGCAGCCACUGAUGUGGCGCACUGGGCCAUUUACAGCUGCCUCAUGAUAUUCUUUUUCACGACUGUGUUUACACUAUUGUUUAACAACUUUGUAUAACAAUCUCUUUUCACUCCAAAUAAACCUUAGUGCCUGGAAGGCCAAGAGUAUCUUCAGUAUGUGUCUAUCCUAGUAAGCUUCUCAAAUGAUACAGAAUUUUUCGUUUUUUUUAAAAAUUUCCAACCUCUCAUGUGCCAAUACUUUUGUAUAAUCAAAAUGAUUAGAAAAAUGAACAUGGACUAGGAUGCCUUAGUAGUGUCAAAUGACUAUAAAUGUGUCUAAAUGCUUAAUGUAAAUUUCUUGUCAUAGACCAGUAACACACAGUUUGCUAACUGGCACGGGUCUGUGGACCUCAUUUGAUUAUCAUUAAACCAGAACAACUAGAAUGCCUGGUACAAUAGGGAGCAAAGAAUAUCUUCUCAAUAUGGAACUGCUGAUUGAAUAUGUGUAUGAAUUAUAACAUAUAUACACAUAUUACAAUGUACACAUAUGGAAUACAUUCACACCAAAUACUGGUAUAUGCACAUACGUUCAAUCAAAUUAUACUUUAUACCAUAACAUAUGUGUAAAUAAGAAGAUGGGGUUUACAAAAGGAAGACCUAUACUUAGGUUUUUAAAAAAGUGCAUUAGGUAACGAGUUGGCACCAUGACGCUCUCUAUGGAAAGGUAUAGGUGGAUGAGGAAGAAUGACUGAGCAGUGCUUCUCCUGUGCUCCAUGCUGUAAUUCUCCAAGCUCUGUGUGGGACUGGUGUUCACACCCAUAUUUACCCAAGAGGCAGUGAAGCUCACUGAGGCUACGCGAUUUGCCAAGGUCACGCUGCUAUUUAGUGAUGGAGAUGGGAUUCAGGUACAGGACUGUCCGGCUCCACAGCCUGCGUUCUAUGGCACCACAUUGUUCAGUGGUGUCACAGGGAGCUAUGCUUUGUUCAUAUGACACACAGUACAAAGAGAAUGGCUGUGUUCCUACCUCCACCUCCAAGCAAAGACCACCAUAAAAUAAUCACAAGGGGCUGGCCUGGGUAGGUUUUGAGUGAGAAGAAGUCCAACUGAUGAACUUCUAGGAAAAGUUUACUCCCUCCUAAGAAAAAAGCAUGGAGAAAAGAUGACCCCCUUCUUCUGCUGGGGAUUGAAACAUCGGGAUAGGAUGGCCAGGACAUCCCUCAGUCAUCUUUUUU
rnacentral:lncRNA from 1 species